rnacentral:rRNA from 1 species
ACGGAAGGCAGCAGUGAGGAAUAUUGGUCAAUGGACGGAAGUCUGAACCAGCCAUGCCGCGUGAAGGAAGACGGCCCUAUGGGUUGUAAACUUCUUUUGCUUUAGGGUAAUAAGCCCCAUGCGUGGGGUGUUGAAAGUAUAAGGCGAAUAAGUAUCGGCUAACUCCGUGCCAGCAGCCGCGGUAAUACGGAGGAUACGAGCGUUAUCCGGAUUUAUUGGGUUUAAAGGGUGCGUAGGCGGAUGAGUAAGUCAGUGGUGAAAUAUCCUAGCUCAACUAGGAGGCUGCCAUUGAUACUGCUUAUCUAGAGUGCGAACGGCGCCGGCGGAAUGUGUCAUGUAGCGGUGAAAUGCUUAGAGAUGACACAGAACACCGAUCGCGAAGGCAGCUGGCGAGCACGACACUGACGCUGAGGCACGAAGGUGCGGGGAUCAAACAGGAUUAGAUACCCUGGUA